rnacentral:rRNA from 1 species
AUCAAUAAGCGGAGGAAAAGAAACUAACAAGGAUUCCCCUAGUAACUGCGAGUGAAGCGGGAAAAGCUCAAAUUUAAAAUCUGGCGGUCUUUGGCCGUCCGAGUUGUAAUCUAGAGAAGUGUUACCCGUGCUGGACCGUGUACAAGUCUCCUGGAAUGGAGCGUCAUAGAGGGUGAGAAUCCCGUCUCUGACACGGACUACCAGGGCUUUGUGGUAUGCUCUCAAAGAGUCGAGUUGUUUGGGAAUGCAGCUCAAAAUGGGUGGUAAAUUCCAUCUAAAGCUAAAUAUUGGCGAGAGACCGAUAGCGAACAAGUACCGUGAGGGAAAGAUGAAAAGAACUUUGGAAAGAGAGUUAAACAGUACGUGAAAUUGCUGAAAGGGAAACGCUUGAAGUCAGUCGCGUUGGCCAGGGAUCAGCCUCGCUCUUGCGUGGUGUACUUUCUGGUUGAUGGGUCAGCAUCAAUUUUGACUGCUGGAAAAAGGCAUAGGGAAUGUGGCAGCUUCGGCUGUGUUAUAGCCCUUUGUCACAUACAGCGGUUGGGAUUGAGGAACUCAGCACGCCGCAAGGCCGGGUUUCGACCACGUUCGUGCUUAGGAUGCUGGCAUAAUGGCUUUAAGCGACCCGUCUUGAAACACGGACCAAGGAGUCUAACAUGCCUGCGAGUGUUUGGGUGGAAAACCCGAGCGCGUAAUGAAAGUGAAAGUUGAGAUCCCUGUCGUGGGGAGCAUCGACGCCCGGACCAGAACUUUUGGGACGGAUCCGCGGUAGAGCAUGUAUGUUGGGACCCGAAAGAUGGUGAACUAUGCCUGAAUAGGGUGAAGCCAGAGGAAACUCUGGUGGAGGCUCGUAGCGAUUCUGACGUGCAAAUCGAUCGUCAAAUUUGGGUAUAGGGGCGAAAGACUA